GACGAACGCUGGCGGCGUGCUUAACACAUGCAAGUCGAACGAAGUGGCGAACGGGUGAGUAACGCGUAAUCAACCUGCCCUUCAGAGGGGGACAACAGUUGGAAACGCCUGCUAAUACCUCAUACUGAAGGCGGUGAUUUCGUCUGAUUGGCUAGUUGGAGGGGUAACGGCCCACCACGGGGAUGAUCAGUAGCCGGUCUGAUGGGAUGAACGGCCACAUUGGGACUGAGACACGGCCCAGACUCCUACGGGAGGCAGCAGUGGGGAAUCUUCCGCAAUGGACGAAAGUCUGACGGAGCAACGCCGCGUGAGUGAUGACGGCCUUCGGGUUGUAAAGCUCUGUUAAUCGGGACGCGGUACCGGAAUAGAAAGCCACGGCUAACUACGUGCCAGCAGCCGCGGUAAUUC
rnacentral:rRNA from 1 species